rnacentral:rRNA from 1 species
GAACUGCAGGACACAUGAACACCGACACGUUCGAAUAUCGCACAUCGUACCUCCAGUACGAUGUACACAUUUUUGAGU